rnacentral:lncRNA from 1 species
CCCACAUCUAUAUUUCAUCACUUUCUCUCUCCUGGUUUGCCAUUAUGUGUGUAUGUGUGUGUGCCUGCGUGUAUGUGUUCGUGUCAUGGCUUGUACCCCAUACCAGUAAUUACCUCUUCCUUUAGCUGCAUGCAGUCUAUCGUUUGUGCCCAAUGCUGGUUGACAGACAGACAGACAGACAGGAAGCAGAUCAAGGGAGCAGUCUGAUUAGUGAGACCAGACCUGCCAUAUGGUCUGAGUCUCAGAAAACCUUUAUUUAACUAAGCAAGUCAGUUACAACGACGACCUACCCCAGCCAAACAUUCC